GACGAACGCUGGCGGCGUGCUUAACACAUGCAAGUCGAACGGAAAGGCCCUGCUUUUGUGGUGUGCUCGAGUGGCGAACGCGUGCGUAACACGUGAGUAACCUGCCCUUGACUUUGGGAUAACUUCAGGAAACUGGGGCUAAUACCGGAUAGGAGCUCCUGCUGCAUGGUGGGGGUUGGAAAGUUUCGGCGGGUGGGGAUGGACGCGCGGCUUAUCAGCUUGUUGGUGGGGUAGUGGCUUACCAAGGCUUUGACGGGUCGCCGGCCUGAGAGGGUGACCGGCCACCUUGGGACUGCGAUACGGACCAGACUCCUACGGGAGGCAGCAGGGGGGAAUAUGGCACAGUGGGCGGAAGCCUGAUGCAGCAACGCCGCGUGCGGGAUGACGGCCUUCGGGUUGUAAACCGCUUUCGCCUGUGACGAAGCGUGAGUGACGGUAAUGGGUAAAGAAGCACCGGCUAACUACGUG
rnacentral:rRNA from 1 species